CUAAGUGGUCUUGAUAGUGGGGAAAGCUCCAUAGUUAAGCACACUUAAGCCAGAGGAGUCUUGGGAUGGGUGACCUCUCAAGAAGUCCUGGUUACCGGGUACA
rnacentral:rRNA from 1 species